rnacentral:siRNA from 1 species
AGGUGAUGAUGUGGAACCAAUGC